GAUGAACGCUAGCGAUAGGCUUAACACAUGCAAGUCGAGGGGCAGCGAGGGUAGCAAUACCUGUCGGCGACCGGCGCACGGGUGAGUAACGCGUAUGUAACCUGCCCUCAACAGGGGGAUAACCCGGCGAAAGUCAGACUAAUACCGCAUAAAACAGGGGUCCCGCAUGGGAAUAUUUGUUAAAGAUUUAUCGUUUGCGGAUGGGCAUGCGUACCAUUAGGUAGUUGGUGAGGUAACGGCUCACCAAGCCUUCGAUGGUUAGGGGUUCUGAGAGGAAGGUCCCUGAGAGUGGGACUGGGACAAGGGCCAGACUCAUACGGGAGGGAGCAGUAAGGGAUAUAGGACAGUGGGCGAGAGCCUGAACCAGGGAAGUCGGGUGAAGGAUGACUGCGCUAUGGAUUGUAAACUUCUUGUAGAAGGGAAUAAAAUGAGAUACGUGUAUUUUAGUGAAUGUACCUGGGGAAGAAGCAUCGGCUAACUACGUG
rnacentral:rRNA from 1 species